AGAGCUAGGCGAGGAAGGCGAGCGGAGAGCCCGAGUCCUGGCCGCGGAGGGGGCCGUGGGUCUCCAGGCCUGCCCUGGGCGCCCCCGCCCUUCUCGCGCUCUCGGCGCUCCGGAGGGAGUGGCAGGGAGGAGGCGAGGUGCUGGAGAACCGGUUCCUUCGCUCUCCCGCGCGCUACAGGGCUCAGCCGCUCGGGUGUGGGCGCCAGGACCCGGGGGCGGCGGGCUGGAGGAGCCCGGGCCUCGGCCCCUCUCCCGGCGCCGCGGGCCCCAGCGUUUUCUUCCCCGGCGCCGCCACCUGAGACCGACGCCGCGGGCUGCUCGUGCCGGCGCAGGCUACUUUGCAGAGCGCGGGAGCAGCUCCGGGCGUGCAGAUCUCUCCUCGGCCCCUCCGGACUCUCGCGCCUGGGAAGAGCACCCACUGGGAGGGCGCCGCCACUUACCUGCUUGCUCGUCGGCAUCUCCCGGGGUUCCAGGUCCCCACCAAGGGUGUUUGCAAGUCUUAAGCGCUUCUACUGAAACGUUGGAGCCCAGCGUCCUCUUCCCCUCACACGUACACCCUACUUCUUAAUUGAAACAUUUUGAUAGGAAAGUUUCUUUUUCGCUCUUUCUCUCUCUUUCUUAGACUGCCUCUAACAGGGACUUUUUGAUGGAAAAUGUGGCCACAGACCCCUGCCCUCAACUUUUUUCCACAUGCUGCGUAAGGAUCCUCCUUGAGGCGAUUUCCCCGGAUUGUUCGUACGGGCGAAGCCCAUUUCCCACCCGAAAAAACUUCCCAAACACGUCUACCUGGGUGGACUUUUAAAAGUGCAAAAAAGAGUUUUCGUUCCAACUCUAAGCUAGGCGAAUCUUUUAAAUGGCACCUCCUCCUGAAAAUUAGGCACUUUAUUCCCUUUCGAGGAAUUUCUACCCCUUGUUUCUAAUCUCCCCCACUCCCCCACCCCGACAGGCGGGGUAAAAAGUUUGCACAGGAUUAAGUGUGAGGGCAAGUCAAGGAGCCUCCAGGCGCAUCGCAGUGGGGAGCACUCGCGCUGCCCGGGCUGCGGGGUCGGGCGCCGAGAGCGGACCGGGCGCUGGGUGAGGAGGAGGAGAACGAAGGGGGAGCCCGCUGAGUGAAAAGGGGCCGCGGCCGCCGCUCAUCAAAGUGCUUCCCCCUCCCCCAAGCGACACUUUCCUUUGGAGUCCGAAUAAAAUACGGUAACAGAAUAUGAUGGAGGGCACACUGUUUCCUUAACUGCUUCUCAAAGGACCCGGGAGAUCUUCUUAGGACCUUUAAUAAGGCUUUGGUCGGUUCUUUUGUUGAUCUCUCAAAAUCAACUCCUUCUAAUUGAAGUUGGAGCUGAAAGCGAGCUAAUGUUCAAAGAAAGUGGCCGCCAGACCAACGAAAUUACAUUUUUUUUUUGACGAUGAGGGAACAUCUAAUCAAAGAGGCAGGGGAGGAGGGGUGGGAGUGGGGGCGUACGAAGGAGAAAAGGAGGUUUUACAAGAUCCUUCUCUGGUUCACAAAAGUCAGCGACACGGGCGCUUCUCUACAGAACAAAGACACCGCGGCCCAUUCACAAAAGGGAGAGAAAGAGAGAAAGCUGAAUAAAAGAACGAGAGAAAUGGGGAAAAAAUGAGAGAGAGAAGGAGGGAGAGAGUGAGUGAGAAAGAAGCUUUAAGAGGAAAAGAAACAGUGCAGAGCGCAGCGCUAACCCAGGCGGGGACACACCUUAGGCUCGCGCAGGCCCCUACCAGGAGUAGCCCGCGAGGCCCGCGGUCAGCCGCCCGCGGCUCGGAGCCACUGUGAUCGUGCUGAGGUUUAAAGAAAGCAACGAAAUAUACCCCUUCCUUAGGUUCCGAGGAAAGGCGCCGGCUGGAGCGCACUAGUUUUGGGGGAAAGAAUAUGCGGACGUCCCGGGGUGCGCUUCGCCGGCGUCCGCGUCCAUAGCCCGGCGCUGCCCUAGUCCCGGCCAGUCCGCUGUGUGCCGGGGUUGGCCCUCCAGUGCCGGGGCGCGUGACCUUGCCCCAUUCCUCCACCUUAACUCAUUCCUCCCUCCACCAGGCCCUGUUUCGCCUGCAGCCUCAGCACCUGACCUGGGUCCGGCGCAGCGAGGUGGGACGGCAGUGCGCUCUGGAAUGUGCCAGCGCGGUCCCCGGGGUACGCCUCGCGGGAGGCCGGCGCUCUCGGUUCCAGAUGCUGCCACCAUUCUCGGGGAAGUUGGGAGUACCUACAGACUUGCCGGUUAUCAG
rnacentral:lncRNA from 10 species